rnacentral:lncRNA from 1 species
GCGGCCGCCUCUAAACUGCCUCUGUGUACUCAGCUGCCAGAUCCUAGUGCCAGCCCCUAGUGCUGAUGGCGUCCUGCCUUCCAAUCUUGCCUGAUAACGGCCUGAACAUCCACAUGCCUGCACCACCAAUCCAUGCAGCCUUCGGUUGCCCAUCUUGUCAUUUGUAUCUUGGAGAAGACCAGGCUUGACAAGAGAAGUCGCUGGCCCUGUCAGUCAGGAAUGAGACCCGCAGCACCAAGUGUCAGUGGAGAGGAGGUCCUGUGCUGGUUGCUGCUCGGUCAGGACGUCUUGCGUAAUUGGACGGUGGAUGAAGCAGAGCCUGGAAGACAAACAGAGCAGAGGGAACCAGUGAGCUCAGAGGACCCUGCCUGGGAAGGAGGCCUGUGCGCUUAAAUCAGCGCUGUGGUCGGACCGGGACACAGGCUGAAAUCAGAUGCCCCCUCUCCAGCUGUGCCCCGCACAAGGCAGUGUUAGGAAGAAGCACUGCCCUCUUAGCGGCCACAGCACACGGGCACACAGGGGACCUGGGAUGACCAGACACACAUGUGGGGCUUCCAUCACUCCGUGCUCUGU